ACUCCUCCUCGGCUGUUCCCCAACCCUGUCACUGUGCUCCCCUCCCUACUCCCGGCCCGUAGUGGAGGUGACUUUCCUGCGCAGCGCCGCUUCUGAGGGCGGAGAACCCACAGGGAGUGCGACCCCUUUGCACGCUGUGAGUGGGCAACUGUCCGAGGGACUCGAGCCGAUCGAAGGGUGAGGACCAGCUCGCCUGGGGGUGGACGGCCUGGAAAAGCCGCCCCUCUUUGGCUUCCCUCUGCCGCCUGCAGCCCGCACCCCUCCGAGAUUCGUGCCCCACUGGACGGUUUGCGAAGGCUGAGGCUGCCUUGGGGACUCACAAAAGACCACAGGGCUGGACGCCCUAUAGGGCUCUUGGCAGUCCACGAAAGACCUGGAGUCCGCCUCCCCAUUUCUCCGGUCGGUGAGUGGCAGGAGGAAAUCGCCAAACAUGUUUUCCCGCUUUGCCUCCCCAACUCGGAAACUUGCAACUUGCCGUGUCCUGGAGGUUGAGACAAUUUGGGGUCUCUUGGCUGCCGUCCAACAGAUUUAUCUCUGAGGGCAGUGUCCUUGGUGAGAGGUCCAAGUAGGUGUGGGCGACAUUGUCCUCCAUCUCAUGAGGGAGCAGCCCUGCACACUAGGGCCCAAAACUCUGCGAAGGAGCUUGGAAGUUCUUCAUCCGUUCCACUUGUUUUGCUACUCCACACACCCUUCUAGGACAUGUUGAUUGCCAACUGCUCUGUGCAGCUUUCCCAUAGCUGUCUGUUCCCGUGCAUUUCGGAGCACCAAGCAAAUACGAGCAGAGAGACCUGGAAAAAAAAAUGAUGAAGACAGUAUUAAUGAUAAAAUUAACAUGGCUGAGUGAAUUGUCAAUGCAAGUUCCUUUACUAACUCUUUGUUAAGUUUUGCUUUGUACUCCUUACAUCCUCUUUCUCUUAAGCCAUUGUUUUAAUUUCUUCUCGUUAUCAUUUUUAAAAGUAACAGAAAUACAGCUUUCUUCCUACCUUCACGAUUGACUUGGUGGAGGUUGGGUUGCAAAGAGGAAGCAGUAAGAAAAAAUAAUUAUUCUAUACAUUCACAAGUCCUUCAAGGCACAAAAUAAAAGUAAGAAAUAGAAAAUAUGUCCUUUCUCCUAAUAAAGGUCUUUAUAAUAAAAUUUAAAUGAAGUUUUGUGUUUCAUAACAGCUUCCCAAAUACUGUUGUAGAUACUAAAAUGUGCCUGUAUGUAUUUCCUUCCACAAUAAUAAUAGUAAUAAUAAACUUUUUUAGGUCCAAAUU
rnacentral:lncRNA from 10 species